UGUUAAACAGUUAAACAAAAUUUUCACGAUACAGUGAUAAAAUACUCGAUAAAGUUAUAUUGAAACGAUUAUACUUGAUAUGAGUUUCCGUAGUGUUAUGAAGAUCCAUUUGUCGAUAUGAUACAUUCAUCUUUUCAGGUUGCAAGCACGGAACCUUGCGCUGGUUUGCCUUGCUAUAGUUAUGGAACAUGCUAUGAUACCGCGGACGGAAAUUGUGUGUGCAAAUAUGCGCUUCAUAAGGGACCUAACUGUUCAGACAUCGACGAGUGUAAAUAUAGUCACAAAGACAAAUGCGGUCACAGAGGAAUUUGUAACAACACUGAAGGUGGUUUUCAAUGUAUUUGUUAUACUGGUUGGACGGGAGUCCUGUGUGAAAACAAAACAGGGAACAAUGCAUCAUGCAUGGACGGAUAUUAUGGGGACAAUUGUGAGAAAACUAUAAGCUGCGACCAUGGAUACAAGAAAAGAAUCGAAAAUAAUACAGAAAGAUGCGUCUGUGACCCAGGCUGGAAUCAGACAAACUAUUAUUCCCCAUGUAAUAUGGAUAUUAUGAAUGCAAUUUAAACAACCCGUGUUCAAAUGGCGGUACUUGUAUAAAUACAAAUGGUAAGUUUGCAUUAUAUUUUUCUCGAGAAAAAUGUUUCAACUUUUCCAUCAAAUAAGUUUUCCAUUUGAAUUGACCCAAUAUUGCCAACGUGCUUCUUACUAAGAAGUGUUAUUUCGCGUCUUAAAACAUAAAAUAUACGUUCUUAUUUAUUUAUUGAAACAAGUAUUUUCAAAAUCGCCAUUUAACCAAACUGUAAAUAGGUCCCUUUAAAAUACUUAUUUAUUGUAAUAAACGCUUCGUUAUCCGUUUUUCAUGUACGAUCUUGGUAAACUAAGGAAUAAACGUGAGUCAGUUACUGGAUGUAUGGUUUAUAGUGAACAAGUACCGCGCAAUGUUUAGUUACAAUAUAUCAUUCAACGAAAAAUAUUUAUAUUCCGUAUCAUAUCAAAAAUUAUUAUUGUACAGAAUUGCAAUGUAGACGUUUAGAUAUUUAAUACUUCUGUGUUAAACACAAUUUACAUGAAGCUAUAAUUGCGCCUGUGUCCAACCAUGGGGUGAUGAUAAUUGCUCAACAGAGGAUACGACCACGACUUUUUCAACAAGCAUUAUGACAAACACGGCUAUGUCGGAAACGACUGCAAUUCAUAGAAACAUAUCGAAGUCGGAAACGAAAGUAACUGAAAGAAGCACGUCAACUUCGGAAACAGCAAUUGAUAGCACGUCGAUUUCGAGCACGACAGUAAUUCACACAAAAACGUCGAUGGUCCGAACGUGUUAUUUACUAGCGAUCGGAUUGGUGAAGUGAAUCCACAGAGAUCGAAAGACACAGGGGCUGGACUUGCUGCUGGUUUGUCUGUGGGUGGAGUCGUUAUUAUUGCCGCUUUGGUCGUCCUCCUGGUACUGAAAUUUAAAUACAAAUACACUGCAUCUGACAUACUAUUUUGCAAGUUUCAACGGUAAGUAUGGCCGUACUUUUUUACAUUUAUCACAUACUAUAUACUUGUUAAUAUGUAAUUCAAUAAUAACGAAUACUUAUAUGCUAAACAUUGUUAAGUAAAUACAUGUGCGUGUUUAUUGAUCGAGGCGUUUUUAAGCUGACAAAUCGCAUAACCGUAUUUCGGCAAAAUGGCUUCGUCGACAUUUAAUGAUGGUAUGUCUUAACAACUUUCCGUGUUUAUGUUUUCUUGAAAAAAUAUAGUAUGCACUCGUUGUCAUUACAUAAAUUUAAACAAGUCAGUUUGAGGUCAACUUAUAACAUAUAGUUUAUAAUUAAAACUCGUUUCAGAUCCUCUAUCUGUUGUCUAAUAUGCGGAUAUAAAAAUUAUAAUUGAAUGCCCAGUUUUAUCCUGUGAAAGUUAUAGUUUUGUUAUACCGGUACGUACGUCCAAUUUCUACUAUUUGCAGCGUUAACUAAAUAUUUAAAUAGAGUCAUAUACGUAUGCAUAUGUUUGGGAUAGACGGAUUCUAUACAAAAAAACUAAUGGAAAUAUUUAUAGAGCAAUCGAAAUAAAAACAAGGGACAAAAUUUUCAAAAAAAAACAGGUUUUCAAUUUGAAAAAAAAGUCUGAUAAAGGGAGACAACUCAAACUAAACUGAUUGUUUAUCAUAAACCCCCUUUGUUUCAAAAUAAAUAUAUAUUUAAGUCGUGGCGACCUUGACCUUGGAGAUAUUGACGUAAUUCUUUCGUGCGACACACCGUCCCAUGAUGGUGAACAAAUGUGCCAAAUGAUUUUUAAAUUUCACAAUGAAUGACACAGUUAUGGCCCGGACAAGCUCUUUUAUGGCCAUUUUAACCUUUGAACUCAAAGUGUGACCUAGACUUUGGAUAUAUCGACGUAAUUCUUUCGUGCGACACAUCGUUUAAUGAUGUUGAACAAUUGUGCCAAUUGAUUUUAAAAUCUCACCAUGAACGGCAAAGUUAUGGCCCAAACAAGCUUGUUCCGCCCGCCCGCCAGCCCGACCGCC